CAGGUACAGCAGGUGAUUGCUAUUCUUUGAGAAUAGAGGAAAGUCCGGGCUGCAAUGAGACAGGGUUCCGUCUAACGGACGGCCAGGGUAACCUGAGGGAAAGUGCAACAGAGAGUAGACCGCCAUCUCUUUCCGAGAUGGUAAGGGUGAAACGGCGGGGUAAGAGCCCACCGGUGUCUUGAGCGAUCUUGACAGCCUUGUAAACCCAACCCGCAGCAAGAAGCGUAUGGUAAAUGUCUCAUCGUGUAACGCUUUGCUAAAGUGCGAUUGUGAAAUCGUACGCAGAUGAAUAAUCACCCAACGACAAAACCCGGCUUAUCGCUGUGCCUGUCCU
rnacentral:RNase_P_RNA from 2 species